CCUUACAAAAAAACCCAGCGAACUUCCAGCGAAAGUUCGCUGGAAAUUAAAAGAUCACUGGAAAUUUACUAAGAUCACUGGGUUUUCGCUGGAUUUCCAUGGAAACAAAAGACUUCGCUGGAAGUUCGCUGGAAAUCCAACGAAAAACUUCCAGUGAUCUAAAAGUUCGCUGGAAGUUUACUGGGUUUCUUGCGAAAUAUUUCGCGGUGAUUUAAAAAGCGUUGCUGUUACAACUUCUGCAAGCAGAUAAAACUUGGAAAAUUGAUAAUAUAUCUUCUUAAAAUAAUAUUUCAAAUUUUUGUAUAAAAGUAAUCCUUUUUAUUUUAUUUUUUGCAUCUAAUAGAUGAUCUAUAGUGCGAGUUUCAAUUAUUAUUAGUUCUACUCAAGUUACAAAACAAAAUCAUCUGGUAGUUUAAUGAUUAUAAUGGUUGCCAUUGGUGUUCUUCUCAAGGGGUAAGAGUUAAAAAAGGUAGGAGGUCUUGUAUGACUUAUCCAUUUUCUGAAGUUAAUGGGAGUUGUAGAAACCAUACAGAUUUUUUUUGGAUUAAUGUGAUUAAAGGGUUUUUAGAUUUUUCUACAUUUGUAAGAGUACCUAAUUUUAAAUGUGAAAAUGGAACAGUUAAUAAUAAUCUGCACUGUAUUGAGCUUGGUGUUAUGAAAGCUAUGUCUUCUUUCUAAUUUGAUAGUUAUUAUUCUGGUCAUAUUUUUUCUAUUAGAAGACACUGUACUCUUGUAAAUAAUCUUUUCUCUGCAAUCAGUGUGCCAAGCAAUAUAAGACAGACUCGAUGAUCAUUAAGUUGUAUAAAGUAUUGGAAAGGUAUUGAGUUUUUUAAUUUUUUAGUUUUUUAUGGUCCUGUUAUUUUAUGUGAUGUUUUGCCUCCUCAGUUUUUUGACCAUUUUAUUCUUUUAUCUAAUAUUGUUUUUACGUUGAACAAUAAGGUAUUAUCUGAAAGUGUAAUUAAUAAAGCCACAUUAUUAGUUAAUAGAUUUUUUUUAUGAGUUUUCUCAUAAAAAAAUCUAUUAAAAUUUUUUUUUUAUGAUUUGUGUGGUAAAGAAAAUAUGUUUUAUAUUAAGUUAUUUUAAAGCAGUUAUUAUAUAUAUACAGAGCUUUUUUAAAAAGCAGGUAUUAUAUCUUAAUGCAGUUUUUAUUUAUGUUUAACUAAAAUUGUAAAUCUUUCUCUCUCUCUCUCUAUAUAUAUAUAUAUAUAUAUACACUUAUUCGGAAUAAAAAAUGUAACUACUGCCAUUUGGUUCUCGACUUUUUGAAAUGGGCUAAAAAACAUGCUUAUGAUGCUUAAGCCUCUAAGAUAUACUUACUGCAAUAUUUUUCUUCUUCUCUAUUAUACAGGUUUAAGGUUUGCUUUAUAAUGACUAUUAUGUUUUUUACAGAUUUAAAUAUCUAUAUCAGUACA